rnacentral:rRNA from 1 species
CAGCAGCCACGGUAAUACGAAGGGUGCAAGCGUUAAUCGGAAUUACUGGGCGUAAAGCGUGCGUAGGCGGUGAGUUAAGUCUGCUGUGAAAUCCCCGGGCUCAACCUGGGAAUGGCAGUGGAUACUGGCUCGCUAGAGUGUGUCAGAGGAUGGUGGAAUUCACAGUGUAGAGGUGAAAUUCGUAGAUAUUGGGAAGAACACCAGUGGCGAAGGCGGCUCACUGAACCGACACUGACGCUGAGGCGCGAAAGCGUGGGGAGCAAACAGGAUUAGAUACCCCAGUAGUCCCUGUCUCUUAUAC